GCACUUCGGUCACCUGGAAGAUCAUGGAAUCUAAGGCCCAAAGCAAAGUAAAAAUAAAAUGGAGAGAAAAGACAAGCAAGUGCUUAUUAAGCAGCUUCCGGCCUGGCCCGGGCUCAGUGACGGGCCUUCAUCCCAACAGGAACCUGUGGUAAUGGCGGCAUCCACUGGAGACUCUUCUAGCCUAUGCCAUUCGGUGUGGAGGGAAGUUGAAAUGCUUCUUUUGGUUGGCACUGUCCCUUCUGCCUACGGACUCUUACAGUGA
rnacentral:lncRNA from 1 species